AUCUCUGGCUCCUCUGCAUUUAACCGAGAAAAUCUUUCGCCUUUUACUAAAGAUUUCCGUGCAAAGGUGCAUUUUAUGAGUAUGUGACAAUUUUUGGAAACCCCCUCGAGAGAGAGUG
rfam:Necator americanus N_americanus-1.0_Cont360.30, whole genome shotgun sequence.